UUAGAUGGAUAGCUGCCUCUCUACGCCAGACACCUCAACCGAGCUUCGACCGACAGGCCUGGACUCAUUGGCGGGCCACAGUAAUGGCCACGACUCUGCUCCACUUCCUGCGGCCAUUGUAAUGGCCACGACUCUGCUCCACUUUCUGUGAUGAAUUUCGCGCAGCUCCACCACUCUCUAAUAACUCGCGACAAUGGAUACUGAUCCACUCCCCGCAACAGGCUCCACGUGGCAGGCCACAGUGAUAGCCACGACUCCACUCCACUACUCUUCAUAACAAACUCCUCUUGGCCCUGAGUGGCCCACUAC
rnacentral:lncRNA from 1 species